UAACUGGCCUGGCAGAGGAGAUACCACGAUCAAGGAGUCGGUUCGCCCAAAGCAUCUCACUCUGACUAGCUGACCCCAAAUGUGGGAAUCUGGACUGCAUAAUUUAUGGUCGUGGUGGACUGCACUCUCCUC
rnacentral:snRNA from 1 species